rnacentral:lncRNA from 1 species
AAAAAAGGUGUAUUUUUUGAGAGUUUGAAGAUUCUUCAAUAGUUAAGACUUAGGUUUGGAUCAUUUCUCACCUGCCCUAUUUACAUAAAAAUCAAUAUUACCUAUCCUUAUGAUCUAUGGUCAAGCAAAUUAUAGUAAUAUAUUCUCAAGAAAAUGAUAUUCUUGAGUAGCUUUUGCAAGUAUUCGCGUUCAUGUUGAAAUUGUUAUUGAAUCCCAUGGCAUCUGGCAAGUAUCAUUUCAUAUAUGAAAUUGGAUAAUUCAUUAGUAGAGGGAAAGAAAAAAAAAUACCGAGCUUACAAAAACUAACCACAAUAUUAUUAAGUGCAAAUAUUUCUAGCCUUCUAGGAAUGUCUUUUUAACUUUCUUUGUUAAUUUAACAAGAUCAAUGUUUUGUUUUUCCAUCUUGAGCUUUAAUAAUCUGAUCUGUUUCAUAUAGGAUGACAAACAAAUAUGGAGGUAAAACCAGCAGUUGCCGUGAGGGCCAUCCUUGUUGGAGGAAUUGCUGCAUUUGCAAAAAUCGGUGGUGCUGUUAAAGCUGCAGGAGGUAUAAAAGUAGGUGCAGCUGCUGCUUCUAUGACUGCUGCAGCAACUGCUGCCAUUUCAGGAUCCAAACAAGAAGCAAACACUGCUUCUCAGCACUCAUCAAAAUGAUUCAAUACAAAUUAUAUAAGAUAUAGAAUAG